rnacentral:lncRNA from 1 species
GUACUUUUGAAAGAACAAACUGUUAUGCUCUGAGAAAAUAGACUAGAUCGUCGUGUCCUGCUGAAAUUCAUUCCAGAGAGUGGCACCCAUUUCCUUACCCCUGUUAACCCUGACAGUACUAAUCCUGACAGUACUCCAGGAAUCAGUAACUAGCAGCUCAUACCACAGUGGCUUGUUCUUGGAAGAUCCUGUGAGAUGGUUGGCGAAAAGUCUGCUUGCAUUUCUACAAGUGAUGCUGUCACUCUGCAAUUUCCUGGUUCAGAAUAUAAAUCAGUAUCUUUCCAUGCCUGUUGCCUAGGACAAUGCACUCUUCGAUCCCAAACCCACCUCUCUAUGUGAAGAUUCUGGCCAUGCCAUUGCAGCAGAAACAUUCAAGAACAGUGGCAGUUGCCAGGCUCAUUUAACUUGCAUUGACACCUGUCCAGUCACACAAGCUAUGAGAUCAGCCACCAACAAAGAUCACAAACCAACUGAUAGGUUUGGCUUGUUAACAAAAUCUCUGGCAACUCAAAGCAGCAGCCUUGAAGAGUCACAAGUGUAAUGUCUUUUUAUAGCCAUCUCGGACUUUCCUCCUCAUUCUACUGGAAGUGAAGCAUGAUGCAUCAAACUCUUUAAACACAUGAUGCUGCACUUUCAUGCUAAAUAAAGCUGUUGCUGGCGACGAGUCA